ACCGUGCGUCAGCGGCGCAGCGGCCCGGGGCGGCGGAGGCUCCCGGGCUCCCGCUGACUCAUCAGAAAGCCGUGCCGCGCGGCCCGGGCGGGGCGGCGGGAGAGGCCCGCGCGGGCGGCGGCCGAGGGCGUUUGAGGCGCGCCGAGCCGGAAAACCCCAAGGAGGCGGCGGUGGCGGCUGGGGGCUGGGCCGGCACAGUCGGGGGAGCGGGCACGGCUGGCAGCUGCCGGGGUCACCUGCGGCGCGGCCGGGCGACGGCGACAAAAGGAGGAAACAAGUCCCCCGCCCUAGCAGCCGGCCAGCGGGGGAAAGCUAUCCUGGGGCCGUAGACACCACGUGCCGGGUCACGGCCUGGCCCCAGCCCUUUCCUGUCACGGCCGGCUAACCACAAGGCCCCAUAGCACUCAGGAAGUGGAGCAGAGGGCCCAGGGAACUAUCAGGAAAGGGCAUGAGCAGAGAUGAUUCCUCUGUGUGACUGGCGACCCUGUCGUGGAACAGGGACAAAGUCUAUAGUAUUCAACAAAGAUUAGGAAACUGAGGCUGGACAGAGGUACCGCUGGGAUUCAACUGUUGCUGGAUCGGACUCCAUAAGUUCCUUCCUCAGUCCCGGAGGGAGGCCUGACCACCUACUGCGGACAGGACUGGUGACCUGGCCCGCCUCUCAGGCCAGACUCUCCUCGCUGCAGGGAGGCCCCGGGCGCGGCGGGGCAGAGGAGCAGGAAGAACGGUCUGGGCGCACACGCCGAGGCCAAGGGCGGGCCCCCGCGCCCAGGAGGAGCCCAUUUCCCUCCCUCCCUCCCCUGGGACCCCGGCGCUGGGGGAGGGGAGCGGCCGCAGCCCUCCCCAUCCGCCCCGGCCGCCAGGUGCCCAGAAACGCGGCCUCCCCCUCCCGCCCCCGCGCCUGUUCCCGGCGCAGCCCGCGGCUCGGCGGUCACGUCUCCCCAUCCGGCUCCAAAGUACGAGUCAGCGGCGGCCGGGCCAGCCCCGCGGAAGGGCGGCGCCGGGGAGGGGAGGUGGCCCGAGGGGCCGGGCCGCGCGCUCCGCCCCCUCCUCCCUCCGCGCGGCGCGGGUAGGUCUGCGAGGGGCUGGGCCCCCCCGCCGCGCCCGGGUCGGCCCUGGCCCACGGGGCGCGGCGCGGGCGAGGCCGCAGCGUCGGGGCCACCGCCCCUGCCGGCGCUCCGCGGGCGCGGGGCGGGCCGAGGGGAGGCUGGCUGGGGAAGCCGCGAGGCCGCGCCUCCCGAGAGGCGCGCGGGCCGGUGUUGCUGGGGAGAAAAGCGCCGCCGCGGCCCCGCCUGGAGGCCCUCUGCUCCAGGGCGCAGCGCACUCUGCUGGGGCGACCUCGGAACUGCAGGGAGACCCCACCCGCACCUACAGCGACGACCCGACGCCCCGACGCCCCGACGCCCCGACGCCGGAGGCCGAGAGCUCGACGCCGGAGGCCGAGAGCUCGGGUCUGGGCCGUAGAAAUUCCUGGUUAAUUAAAGAUCAUUAUUCCCCCCUUUGUUUUAAUUAAUUCAAAAAUGAGUCCUGAGCAUAGCAGGGAAAUUUGGGAAUGUGGAGAACCAAAAAAAAAAACCACUCAUAAUGCCUGUAUCCAGAAAGCAACGCUUAGAAUUUUAGUGCCUGCCCUUUCAGCGCUUCGUAUCUGCAAAUCUAUCUGUGUAUGCAUUCUUUGUAGAAUAAAAAAUACGAUAGUGUCGGCCCUG
rnacentral:lncRNA from 1 species